rnacentral:rRNA from 1 species
UCAGGAUGAACGCUAGCGGGAGGCCUAACACAUGCAAGCCGAGCGGUAGAGAUUCUUCGGAAUCUUGAGAGCGGCGUACGGGUGCGGAACACGUGUGCAACCUGCCUUUAUCAGGGAGAUAGCCUUUCGAAAGGAAGAUUAAUACCCCAUAAUAUAUUAAGUGGCAUCACUUGAUAUUGAAAACUACGGUGGAUAGAGAUGGGCACGCGCAAGAUUAGAUAGUUGGUAGGGUAACGGCCUACCAAGUCUACGAUCUUUAGGGGGCCUGAGAGGGUGAUCCCCCACACUGGUACUGAGACACGGACCAGACUCCUACGGGAGGCAGCAGUGAGGAAUAUUGGACAAUGGGUGGAAGCCUGAUCCAGCCAUCCCGCGUGAAGGACGACGGCCCUAUGGGUUGUAAACUUCUUUUGUAUAGGGAUAAACCUAGAUACGUGUAUCUAGCUGAAGGUACUAUACGAAUAAGCACCGGCUAACUCCGUGCCAGCAGCCGCGGUAAUACGGAGGGUGCAAGCGUUAUCCGGAUUUAUUGGGUUUAAAGGGUCCGUAGGCGGAUCUGUAAGUCAGUGGUGAAAUCUCACAGCUUAACUGUGAAACUGCCAUUGAUACUGCAGGUCUUGAGUGUUGUUGAAGUAGCUGGAAUAAGUAGUGUAGCGGUGAAAUGCAUAGAUAUUACUUAGAACACCAAUUGCGAAGGCAGGUUACUAAGCAACAACUGACGCUGAUGGACGAA